AAAAGUAAGUAAGGAAGAAUAUAAAUUAGUACAGAAAAAUAAAAGCCUCAACUGGUUUUGUGGAAGAUGCAAUGGAGCUUAUAAGAAUAUGAAAACUGAGAACAGGAAGAUGAAGACACUGAGGGAUACUUUCGUGCUCAAGAUGAGUGCCCUAGAAGAGGUUAUAAUGAAACUCAGUGAGGAGCUAAAGGAAGUGAAAAGAGGCUUAGACACUGAACAGAGAGUAAGAAGUGAGGAUUUUAACCCAGUGAUUAGAGAAGAGGUGAAGGAAUUAUGGGAGAAAGAAAAACGUAACAACGAAAUAAGAAAAGAAACCAUAUACUUGAUGUGGAAAAAAAGAGAGAAAAAAAGGAAAGAGCUAAACAAAUAAACAAACAAAAACAAAAAAUACCCAAGACUAAGAGGCGCCGUUGCAAAGGCAUUGCCUCGACCCAUAACUAC